UUGCUCCUGUGAUGGCAGUUUUGGACACCUUUGUAUUAACCAUGAAAAAAAACAUGUUCUGAGCAAC
ensembl:snoRNA SNORD58 Small nucleolar RNA SNORD58